rnacentral:rRNA from 1 species
AGAGUUUGAUCCUGGCUCAGGAUGAACGCUGGCGGCGUGUAUAACACAUUCAAGUCGAACGGGGCAGCAAUGCCUAGUGGCGGACGGGUGAGUAACGCGUGAGCAACCUGCCCUUGCGUGGGGGAUACCAUCUGGAAACGGAUGUUAAUACCGCAUAAAGUACAAGCGACCGCAUGGUCGUAGUACCAAAGAUUUAUUGCGCAAGGAUGGGCUCGCGUCCCAUUAGAUAGUUGGUGAGGUAACGGCCCACCAAGUCAGCGAUGGGUAGCCGGACUGAGAGGUUGAACGGCCACAUUGGAACUGAGAUACGGUCCAGACUCCUACGGGAGGCAGCAGUGGGGAAUAUUGGGCAAUGGGCGAAAGCCUGACCCAGCGACGCCGCGUGAAGGAAGAAGGUCUUCGGAUUGUAAACUUCUGUUAUGGGGGACGAACACAUGACGGUACCCCAUGAGAAAGCCACGGCUAACUACGUGCCAGCAGCCGCGGUAAUACGUAGGUGGCGAGCGUUAUCCGGAUUUACUGGGUGUAAAGGGUGUGUAGGCGGGACUGCAAGUCAGAUGUGAAAACUAUGGGCUCAACUCAUAGCUUGCAUUUGAAACUGUGGUUCUUGAGGGUCGGAGAGGUAACUGGAAUUCCCGGUGUAGCGGUGAAAUGCGUAGAUAUCGGGGGGAACACCAGUGGCGAAGGCGAGUUACUGGACGAUACCUGACGCUGAGACACGAAAGUGUGGGGAGCAAACAGGAUUAGAUACCCUGGUAGUCCACACCGUAAACGAUGAAUGCUAGGUGUGGGGGUGCAAACCUCCGUGCCGCAGUUAACACAAUAAGCAUUCCACCUGGGGAGUACGGCCGCAAGGUUGAAACUCAAAGGAAUUGACGGGGGCCCGCACAAGCGGAGGAACAUGUGGUUUAAUUCGAUGAUACGCGAGGAACCUUACCCGGGCUUGAAUUGCAGAGGAAGGAUUUGGAGACAAUGACGCCCUUCGGGGCCUCUGUGAAGGUGCUGCAUGGUUGUCGUCAGCUCGUGCCGUGAGGUGUCGGCUUAAGUGCCAUAACGAGCGCAACCCCUCUCCUUAGUUGCCAUCAGGUUAAGCUGGGCACUCUGGGGACACUGCCACCGUAAGGUGUGAGGAAGGUGGGGAUGACGUCAAAUCAGCACGGCCCUUACGUCCGGGGCUACACACGUGUUACAAUGGCAGGUACAGAGAGACGGUCCCUUGCAAAACGGAUCAAAUCCUUAAAGCCUGUCUCAGUUCGGACUGGGGUCUGCAACCCGACCCCACGAAGCUGGAUUCGCUAGUAAUCGCGCAUCAGCCAUGGCGCGGUGAAUACGUUCCCGGGCCUUGUACACACCGCCCGUCAAGCCAUGAAAGCCGGGGGCGCCUAAAGUCCGUGACCGUAAGGAGCGGCCUAGGGCGAAACUGGUAAUUGGGGCUAAGUCGUAACAAGGUA